CAAGGUCAAUGGUCAAAAGGUGCAAAAUAUUAUUUUUUAAUGGGUUCAAGGGUCCAGUUGACAAACAUGUAAGUAAAAGUGUCUAACUUACAAAACUAACAUAGUACAGGGGUCCAGAAGAGUAUUUUGCCAAUGAAUAAUUCCUUAAUAAGUCAAAAAUUGAUCAAACUGAGAGAUUAUCUACAAUCCUAUUCCUUUCCAAUUCUAAUAGUUUGAAUGGCGGAUUUUAGUUCUGUCUCAUCUCACAUCUGUUACGCUUCUGUACGUUUUGUUACAUAAUCUUUUGACAAAGAAAGAUGAGGCUAGUGGAAUGAAUAAGUUACACCAAAAGGCCUAGGAGUAUUUUGUCCUAAAAUGAUGGGAUUUGUAGUUCUACGAUGGUAAUCUCUAUGAGGUUCUUUGGCAAUCUACGAAUCCACCAUACUGGUCUUUCAGUUCUCUUAUGUCUAUUUCAUUUCGUAGAAGAUUGUCAUGCUCUUAUUUUCAUUUUUGUCUUUAGGAAUUUCUAUUUUGAGUGUUCUCAUUAUUUAUAAACAGAGAAGCUAAAGAACUUGGUUCUCUUUCUCGGCUGUGUUAUCAAAGACACGAUUAAUCCCUAAAGCAAGGCUCAAAAUGUGUCAAGCGCUUUGCCUCGCUUAAUGUGCGCUUCAGUGUCAAUGUCAAUUAUCUAAUACAUACUUUUCCUUGCCAAUGAGCGUCUUGUGAAGAGGCGACACUCAACAAUAGAUGUUUCUCUUUGUUAGAAUUGGAGUAGGAAUAAGAAUAGCUUAUAGAGUUCUACUUGGAAAGAGAUUGUAAUGUAGUAUCCUAUUUGUAAAAGGAUUGAAAUGUAGUAUCUAUAAAUAGGGUUCCACUGUAAUAAUAUAGCUACAACAAUUCAAUAAUAAUUUUCUCUAACAUCUCUCACAUGGUAUUAGAGCCUCUAUCAAGAUUUUGGUAUAGAAUCAAAGAGCUUCCGCUGCCGGCGGAUGGCUAACCCAUAUAUGCCGCCCGUUUGGCCAAUGAUUAUAUUAGCACAAGUUGGGCCACUGUGUAUUUUUUUUGGUGUCUACUUUCUCAUAUCUGGUUUGUGCAACACCAUGCAUCUUUUCGGUGACUGCUAUCAUAUUUGAUUUGCAAAUCACGGUGCAUCUUUUUGGUGACUACCUUCUCAUAUUUGAUUUGUGUAGAACUAUGCAUUUUUUUGGUGACUACUUUCUCAUAUCUAAUUUGCAUAAUAUUGUGCAUCUUUCCGGACUACUUUCUCAUAUCUGAGUUGCAUAGCAUCAUGUGUGUUUCCGGUGACACCUCAGAUCUGAUUUACAUAGUUGCAUGUCUUUUCGGUGAUUCCUCGAAUCUGAUUUGUAUAGGGUCAAGCCAUCAUUCUGACCCUAUCCUUAUAAUUUUAUGGUCUAAAAGAGUCUCCUCCAGCCUGGUAUGAAAAGUUCAGCUAUUUCUCUUUUCUAAUUGGGUCGUGCCAUCGUUCCAACCCUAACCAUAUAAUUUCUCUUUUCUAGUAGGGUGGCGCCAUCAUUCCGACCUUACCCAUAUAAUUUUCUCAAAUUUUGACCACUUUUCAGCUAUCAAAUCGGAUUAUCUGACGACUUCAAUACAUCUCUGGUUAUUCUAGGCUUGUUCCAAACUGUUUUCCAAGAAAUUCUUUUUCUAAUAGGACAAUUUCUCCAAACGUGCAUCACUGAUUACGGUUUAGUCCUAUGAUUCCCUUACUCCCUUACUGAGAACUGAAAAGGUCAGAAAAUCAAACAUCACUUUGUCAUGAGAUGGGCAAAAGAGUCUCAUCACCGAUUGCCCAAGUUCAUUAUGAGAGGAUUGAGCACAUUGAGAUUGAUUGUCACUUUGUUGGAGAAAAGAUACUCUCAGGAGAUAAUAUUAUAAAAUUUGUAAAGUAAAGAGAUCAACUUGCAACCAUCGUCAUCACGUCUAUCAUCGGUCCUCGUAUUAAUUACAUCUGUGACAGGCUUGGUACAUAUGACUUGUAUGCACCAGUUUGAGGGGGAGUGUUAGAAUUGGAGUAGGAAUAGAAAUAAUAUAUAGAAUCCUACUUGAAAAGUGAUUGUAAUGUAGUGUCCCAUUUGGAAAAGAAUUGGAAUGUAGUAUCUUUAAAUAGGGUAUCAGUGUAAUAAUGUAGUUACAACAAUUCAAUAAUAUUUUUCUAUUAUAUUUCUCACACACUUAAUC